rnacentral:rRNA from 1 species
UCGUCGGCUCGUGUCGUGAGAUGUGGUAAGUCCGCAACGAGCGCAACCCCUAUUGUUAGUUGCCAUCAUUCAGUUGGGCACUCUAGCGAGACUGCCGGUAAUAAACCGGAGGAAGGUGGGGAUGACGUCAAAUCAUCAUGCCCCUUAUGACCUGGGCUACACACGUGCUACAAUGGUUGGUACAACGAGUUGCGAGUCGGUGACGGCGAGCUAAUCUCUUAAAGCCAAUCUCAGUUCGGAUUGUAGGCUGCAACUCGCCUACAUGAAGUCGGAAUCGCUAGUAAUCGCGGAUCAGCACGCCGCGGUGAAUACGUUCCCGGGCCUU